rnacentral:lncRNA from 1 species
AACUAAACCCCACAAACCAUUUGAGAGAGGGGACUUUAAACCCCUGGAUUCCUUUCAGGGUUCUGAAAACUGACAUCAGUAGGCAUCAAAAAGUUCCUUAGCAGAUUUUUCUUCGAGGAGCACAAGGGUGGGUCUGGUGGAACCCUUCAGGAGCUAGGGUGUCGGAGGUGGGGGACUAGCCCUGGUCCCACUGUCCUUCCUCUCCUCCUCACUCCCCAAGCUGCC